AGAGUUUGAUCCUGGCUCAGGAUGAACGCUAGCGACAGGCUUAACACAUGCAAGUCGAGGGGCAGCACAGGUAGCAAUACCGGGUGGCGACCGGCGCACGGGUGAGUAACGCGUAUGCAACUUACCUGUCAGAGGGGGAUAACCCGGCGAAAGUCGGACUAAUACCGCAUGAAGCAGGGGCCCCGCAUGGGGAUAUUUGCUAAAGAUUCAUCGCUGAUAGAUAGGCAUGCGUUCCAUUAGGCAGUUGGCGGGGUAACGGCCCACCAAACCGACGAUGGAUAGGGGUUCUGAGAGGAAGGUCCCCCACAUUGGUACUGAGACACGGACCAAACUCCUACGGGAGGCAGCAGUGAGGAAUAUUGGUCAAUGGGCGUAAGCCUGAACCAGCCAAGUCGCGUGAGGGAUGAAGGUUCUAUGGAUCGUAAACCUCUUUUAUAAGGGAAUAAAGUGUGGGACGUGUCCUAUUUUGUAUGUACCUUAUGAAUAAGGAUCGGCUAACUCCGUGCCAGCAGCCGCGGUAAUACGGAGGAUCCGAGCGUUAUCCGGAUUUAUUGGGUUUAAAGGGUGCGUAGGCGGCCUUUUAAGUCAGCGGUGAAAGUCUGUGGCUCAACCAUAGAAUUGCCGUUGAAACUGGGGGGCUUGAGUAUGUUUGAGCAGCGGA
rnacentral:rRNA from 1 species